UACGUAGGGGGCAAGCGUUGUCCGGAUUUAUUGGGCGUAAAGAGCGUGUAGGCGGCCAGACAGGUCAGCUGUGAAAACUCGAGGCUCAACCUCGAGACGUCGGUUGAAACCGUCUGGCUAGAGUCCGGAAGAGGGAGAGUGGAAUUCCCGGUGUAGCGGUGAAAUGCGCAGAUAUCGGGAAGAACACCCGUGGCGAAGGCGACUCACUGGACACGUAUUGACGCUGAGGUGCGAAAGCGUGGGGAGCAACAGG
rnacentral:rRNA from 1 species